rnacentral:lncRNA from 1 species
GGACCUUUUCUCGGUACAUUUUUUUUUUCUCAACUUCUCACUGACGAUGGGCAGGCACACUGAACUCCUCUAUCCUGGUGUCCUUCUAGGGGGAUGCCCUUUCUCCACUGAUAGCUGUUUUGAGAAGAGACAUACUUUGCUGCCGUUUGAUGAGCACUGCAUAAAGCAAUCCCUGAGGGAUUGCAAUACUAUUCGAAAUAUAAAGUUUGCAAGCACAACAUUUCCUGUGUUUUGAGUUGUCUUAUACUAUGGCAUGUAUUUCAUAAAAAUAAAAGUUAAAACUUCUUUAUUCUAUCAAAUGUCUGUUGUCUCAUUCUGGUCUUAAUGCAUUGUCCGCGAUGUCAAAAUUUACAUAUGAGGUUACAUUACUUACGGCGAUGCCUGGCCGGGUAUCCCUGGGGCUAAUUGGUCAUCCAUCCAGGGCCACAGUCUGCAUCUGCAGUGAUAUGUCGCAAGAAGAAAUAAAACGUCUUUCAUCGCCUCCACAUCCUAUCCCAGAAUUUGACAGUUAUAAAUCAGUGUGGUUCCCUUAAGCUUUGUUUUCUUACAACCCAGCUUUGGCCCUUUCUUCUUUCAGCUUUGAGAUAAGGCUCCUCAGCCCCUACUCCCGUUCAGCCAUCAGACUGUUGUCUCAUACCAAAGGUUGUUAAUGUUUCUUCCAUAAAUUUUAAAUCCGGCCUAGAGUUCCUCAAGCCACGCAUGUCGCAUGAUAUGUUCUGCAAACAGGUUGAUUAGAGAGGCUGAAAUUAUGCGGCCCUGCCGCACCCCAUUCCCAAUCUGGAACCAGUCUGUUGAUCCGUUUUCUGUUCCUACCAUGGCAACUUACACUUCUCGGGGGACAGACUAGGUGACUUGGAAUUCCUAAAAAACCCAGCACAUGCCAUUUAUUAUGAUCCACGCAGUUCAAGGCUUUAUAGAGGGUAUUCAACAUGGCCGGCGAUGGUGUGACCCCUUGCUGCAGCUUUGCUGAAUGCCCUUUCUGUUGAGAGAAUGGUCUUCCUCAAGACCAAACUCCUGGUCUUAGAAUAUCAAGAAAUCCCUUUGAAGCGAGGUGGACUCUCCGAGUGAUAAUAAUGUGAACAAUUAAAAAGGAACAAAAAUGUAUCUACUACCUGCCAACAUCUCCCUGCGUGGACUCAGUGCAGCUUACUUGGGGCAGCGGCCCAAACAACAUGAGGACAAAAUAAAAGCAACAAAAUACAAAUCUUGACUUAGAAAAGGAAAAUAGGAUUUAAAUUUCUCAAUGUAAACCAAACACAGGAUUAAAAUACGUUGAUUUAACUUCAUAAUUGCUUCCAAUGUGUCCCUCUGGACUUUACGCCCUUGUUGUCCACGAUGUUGGUCUGAGGGUCGCAUUUUUGGCUCGUGUGUCAACAGCGGGAUGUCAGCA